rnacentral:lncRNA from 1 species
UUUUAUUUUAAAAGGACAUAACAUUGUAAAAAAAACAUAAGUUUAAGACAUAACGAACGUCUACUUGUUUAGAUAUUUUGCCUGAAUGGUUUGCUUCUCCAUUUCGAUGAUCAUCCAAUCCUCCUUUGAUACAUGAGGUGGAAUCAGUUCUUUGAGGUACUGAAUGUCGUCCGUCUUUUGCCUACUCUUUUGCAACUCCAUCUCUUGUAAUCUCUUAAAAGACAAAGUCGGUGGUUCAAUAGCCACCGACAAAUGAAGUGUAUAUAUAUAUUUAAUCGCUGAUGAAUUACCAAAGUACAAAGUUGAUCAGGUGGUUGCAGGCUAUGUGGCUAUGUGGUAAGUUUUAGGUAACACGGCUGCUAUGAGUUCGAGUCCAAUCCACUCUUUUUCAUUUUCAUCUUUUUUACAUUUUGUGCUCAUAUUAUUAAGUUACUUAAAAAAUAAAUCAAUUAAUAAGUUACCAUUUUUUACUUUCAGACUUUCAAACAUUAAAAGGCAAUAUAUUUAGUUCGUAAUUAUGUAUAUAACACUUUUGGGUGACUCCUACGCCCCUCGGUUUUCUAAAAUUUUUAUAAAUUGUGACUUU